CCUACGGGUGGCUGCAGUCGAGAAUCAUUCACAAUGGGGGAAACCCUGAUGGUGCGACGCCGCGUGGGGGAAUGAAGGUCUUCUGAUUGUAAACCCCUGUCAUGUGGGAGCAAAUUAAAAUGAUAGUACCACAAGAGGCAGAGACGGCUAACUCUGUGACAGCAGCCGCGGUAAUACAGAGGUCUCAAGCGUUGUUCGGAAUCACUGGGCGUAACGCGAGCGUAGGCGGGUUAGUAAGUCGUGUGUGAAAGGCGCGGGCUCAACCCUGGAACGGCACAUGAUACUGCGUGACUAGAGUAAGGGAGGGGGAACCGGAAUUCUCGGUGUAGCAGUGAAAUGCGUAGAUA
rnacentral:rRNA from 1 species